rnacentral:lncRNA from 1 species
CUAAAUUGGAGAAGUUACUAAGCCAAACAUUUGUGUGUCUUGGGAUUUUUCUUCUAGCUUAUGGGAGUCUCAGAACCUAGCUUCUGGCUUCAACAGAUGGAGUGUCUCAAUGCUUGUUUGCACAGUGGGGGAACUUGCUAUUUGACUGUACAGGGAAGGGCAUUGGGAGUAUCCUGGACCAAUUUAGGCUGCCUGCUCCUCACUGAGAUUCCCACCCACCCAGAAAAACACAUCUUAUGCUGCUGAUUCUCAUAGAUAUUCUGGAUUGGAAAACAAUUUCACUGCUGCAAAAUUUGGUCCUGUCUUUUUAUCAGGAUUGCCUGGAAGCCCUUUAUUUCAAUAAAUAUUACACACCCCUCCCCUUAAGGAUUAUA